rnacentral:rRNA from 1 species
AUUGAACGCUGGCGGCAGGCCUAACACAUGCAAGUCGAGCGAGCGGCGGACGGGUGAGUAAUGUAUGGGGACUGCCCGAUAGAGGGGGAUAACUACUUGAAACGGUAGCUAAUACCGCAUACUAUCGGAUAACCCAUAUGGGAUUAGCUAGUAGGUGAGGUAAUGGCUCACCUGGGCGACGAUCCCUAGCUGGUCUGCGAGCAUGAUCAGCCAAACUGGGACUGCGACACGGCCCAGACGCUUACGGAGGCAGCAGGGGGGAAUAUGGCACAAUGGGCGCAAGCCUGAUGCAGCCAUGCCGCGUGUAUGAAGAAGGCCAUAGGGUUGUAAAGUACUUUCAGUCGGGAGGCGUUACCGACAGAAGAAGCACCGGCUAACUCCGUGCCAGCAGCCGCGGUAAUUC